CCCAAUCUCAUCCCGCCUCCAACUCCUCCGCCUCACAGGCCACGUGCUCAGCACAGGCCGUCGUCCUCGGCGCAAAAGGGGCGCAGUUUGGAGAGACCUAAUCCACAACGCCAUUGACGCUGUCCUCUCCUCGCAUGGCCUACCAAGGUCCGUCUCCUCCAAUUCCUUCAUCUGGAUUCCAUCUCGGAUUUGUCGAAUCCUAUCAUCCCGGAUUCCAUCUCAACCCCUCCCCUCCUCUCGAAGACGGCCAUGGCCGUGCUACGUCUUCCCCACCUUCCUACGUCUUCCGGAUCAGCCUUCGAUCCCUCGAUUUCGUGUGUACUGUGAGCCGCCGCCGAUGUUUAGAACGCAAAUUGAGGGCGAGCUGGGAGGUGACGGAGGUGCGUUGCCGCCGGCUACAUCUUGGCGUCGUCCCUGGUUAGUUCACCUCCGAUGGAUCAUGGGACAUACUUCUAUCUGGCCCUGGCUCUCCCUUCAAGCAUAUCCGUGCGAAGCCGCCGCUUUCAAGUUGCCUGAUGGACGGCAUGGGGGCGUAUGGCGGCUGCAGACGUCGAUCCUCCCUCAUCUUCCCGGAUUCGCCGAAUGUACGAGGGCCGAUACAACCACCCCUAGCCUUGCUUCCACAGGACCGGCCCCUAACAAGCAGCAUAUAUCUUCUCCAUGAUUACUAUUUCCCUUUUUCUUUUUUUCUUUUCAGUGAGAACGAACACAUGCACAUAUGAUUUAGUGAGUGGCGUUCAUUUACUUGCUUGAUCCAUAGGAACUGGAGUUCAAGAAGCAACACUACUGAUCUUGAUUUCUGCUGUAACCAUUGCAACGAGGUGAAUUGCAUUUUUGUGUAUAUGUUCAUGUACUGUACUAUUUAGGUUCAGAAUCAUUUUUAACAGUUUUGUUAAUGUUCUUCCUCACGGGCCUUCCUGUUAUAGUGUUACUUUUUAUGAGAACAAUACAACUUUUGAACUCAGUCUAUAAUGAUUAACCUCUGCUUACUGUAAGUUUGAGCUCUACUCUGGAAUUGCUUUGAUCGACUACCAAUUACUAUGCACCUCUGACAUGUAUUGGCAAAUGCAGCCGUGAUGGUGGGCCGUCCCAAGAAAACAUUUAUGGAUGAAUGGAUGAUUGCUUUCAUACUUCACAACUGUUGAAUUCUUCUCUUCUUUGGGUUUACCCAAAAGGGUUACUCGGUUAGUUUAUACGAGUCAUCCUCAUUAAAGCUCUACUUUACUCACUGGGAAGUGGUGAAUCGCCGUUCCUUGACAUUGUGGCAUAUGCUGGGAUGGGUUUGCCGGUACCUCACUUGCGAUGCUUGUCCUCAUCUUCUGGAGCUACUCAUACUAUUUUGUGCUGCCGUGGUUCUGUAUCUUCUACAGGGUGCAUCGAGGACUUAUGAGAGACAUCCUAGUAGGAACCACUACUUUCUUCUAUUCCUCACGGCUACGCAAUUCCCCAUGCUUUUUUGGCUAGGCAACAUCAAGGGCUGAUGUUUCAGUCUUAUCUCAGAACAGGGACACCUUUCCUUCUUUUCUUCAAAGUUCAAAGCUAAAACUCGAUCAGAAUAAAGUUUGAGGUUUAGUCUUACCGUAGAACUUUGGUAGUAGCCUUGUCUAUAGUUCAGGCUCUUGUUGGAGUGGUAAAUUUCUUGAUAUAGGGCCUGAAAAAUUGCAGUUGAGGUUAUCUUUUUGGCAUGGAAAGGAUGUUUCCAUGAUUUAUGACUAGCUGAAGACAAAUGAAUACAUGGAUUUUGAAUA